AAAUGCAAACCAAAGUGGAGCAGCAGAUUUACCCAGUGAGUUCUACACAAAAUCUCAGGUUGCCGGGCUGUUCGUUCUUACUGCUGUUGUCGGUCUUUAUGGCCUGUACCGCAUGUACCCCUUCUGGUUCUGCUGUAACUAUGAAGACAGACAGAGAGAGAAGCUGGAGAGCUUAUUAGAGGAAGAAGCAUGGAAACAUUUUGAAGAACUGAAGAAAGCGGAUGUAGAGCAGAUGAUGGAACAGAGAGUGAAACCUUCUCUCCAGCUUGUUAUUAAUAAUUUCUGGAAAAACUUAGAUUUGAGAAAGGCAGCGAAAAAAAUAAAGGAAGCUGUAGAGUCUGCUGUUAGACAGCCGGUGAGCCAACAAGCAGUUGAACAAGGUGUGCCUCUCACCUCCAGCACUGGCACAACCACAGAACAACCGAUGCAACCAAUUAACACUUCGUUCUGAAGAGGUGGGCAGCUACUGUUGCCGAAAGGGCCAGAGCAGGUGCCCAUGCGGCAACACCAGGAUGCUCGACCUGUCCAUCCUGGGCUUGCUAGGGAAAGCACCCACCCUGCUCCCACCUCAGUCCUCAUGACCGCCGAAGCAGGUCUGGCUCUUACGGUGUAGCCAGAAAAGUAAGUUGGUUUUAUUGUCCUGUUCCAGCUACGGUUGUCAAGCUGACAGCUACCAUCAGCACCGGUCACCUUUUUAUCCCUCUUCCUGCUUCUUGGCCCUCAUUUGUUGCUCUUUCACCUCUCUUUCUUCACCCCAGUGUCUAGUUUCUGGUCCCAGUUUUGCUAUAUCUGUACCCCAAACUGGUAGUUCUAAUCCUGUUACCUACACAAUCUUGACUCCUCAGGUUUUGCCUUUGCAUAAAGCAAGGAAGAAGUAAGCAAAGAAGGAAGAAAUAUCUUCAGGUCUUAAAGGGCAGAAGAAAUGUGAGCUGGUCCUUCCUGGACAUUGUGCUGGUAUUGCACUGUUCCCACUUGGAAGGAACUAGCUAGUGCCUAAUUGCAAUAAAACUUUCUGAGCACAA